GUGACAAAGAUGCUCGCUGGUGCUGCUUCUGAAACAGCUGCCUGGGUUACCAUUGUUGGUACGUUGGCUUUCCAGGAGUGGCGGCCGGAUUGACCACACCGCAUCUUAGAGGAGGACCUCCAGAGGUACCUGCCGUCUCAUUGAGGCAUAGUGGUCUCAGCUGGAGGGGAAGCACAGGAUGCUCGGCCUGACUGUUGCCAAGGUGAUGAGGAUCUCCUGGAAGGCUCCACUGUUGCAGGAGGACACAUGGGGCAGAUGAGACGGCCCUCCUCAUCCAGGAUCUCCACGUCACCCUGGACAUCCCUUUGCUGGAUUCUCUCCACAUCCAGGACAUAUGGAGUACAAAGACGCGCCACCUCAGCUGCAUUCAGGAACCAGCAGGUGUGCAGCUGUACACAGAGACUGGUAGGCUGACAAAGGGCGGGUCAGCCUUCUAGUUUCCACCUUAACCACUUCAUCCCAGCCAGUGCCAAGUACUUCCAAGCUCCUGGCAAAACCUGCCAGAGCAGGAGAAAUAGCAAGUUGUCUUCCCUCCCAGAUCCGCAGAGCUGUCUUCUUGGACUGAACUCGGGCCCUGCAAACUGAGCCAGUGUUAGCCACCUGGUGGAGGCCAUUUUUACAACCAGCUCUGCCGUCUUCACCCAGUGGCCACGUCAUUCAGAGCGACCGUGAGGACUUGGUGGUCAUUCAUUCUCAAGGAUUAUGUGGCUAUUAGAGAGGCAGUGCUGGCCAGCCUGAGGUUGAUGCCUCAGACCAACAUCCAUCUCUUUGAAUUAAAUUGAGGACUC